CAUCUAUCAAACCAUUUUUUCCUAGUAUGCACAGAUAUUACACACAGAAAUACAAAAGUGCAUAAAUGCAUUACAUACCUUGUCAAAUAAGUCCAAUACUGCUCUUUGGCCAAGCAAUUGUACUUCCUAUGGCUUCACUAAGCACUCGAAAUUCAUCAAUAAGUCUAUAUAAGUUCAAAUGGCCCAUAUACACUUCCUCAACCCACACCUUCCAACAAUCUCGUCCGAUUGGUACGUGAUGGACCUUUGCACUUGGGUCUAUCGAUGCAAUCCUUCCUUUAGCUACAAUUUCUUCCUCUUCUAAUGUGUACCAAUGCAACAGUUGACACCUUUCAUUUUUCGUAUGUGCAAUCCCUCCGUGGAUACCACUUCCUUGUUGUGACUACAAAAUCAAAUUAAAGUAAAUUAGUAUGCUAUAUUCUAUGUUUAUGGUGAAUACAAAAUAAUUUCUUAGAUACAAAAAUCUGAGUAAAAGCACGUGAACUC
rnacentral:lncRNA from 1 species